rnacentral:rRNA from 1 species
AGAGUUUGAUCAUGGCUCAGGACGAACGCUGGCGGCGUGCCUAAUACAUGCAAGUCGAGCGGACAGAUGGGAGCUUGCUCCCUGAUGUUAGCGGCGGACGGGUGAGUAACACGUGGGUAACCUGCCUGUAAGACUGGGAUAACUCCGGGAAACCGGGGCUAAUACCGGAUGGUUGUUUGAACCGCAUGGUUCAAACAUAAAAGGUGGCUUCGGCUACCACUUACAGAUGGACCCGCGGCGCAUUAGCUAGUUGGUGAGGUAAUGGCUCACCAAGGCAACGAUGCGUAGCCGACCUGAGAGGGUGAUCGGCCACACUGGGACUGAGACACGGCCCAGACUCCUACGGGAGGCAGCAGUAGGGAAUCUUCCGCAAUGGACGAAAGUCUGACGGAGCAACGCCGCGUGAGUGAUGAAGGUUUUCGGAUCGUAAAGCUCUGUUGUUAGGGAAGAACAAGUACCGUUCGAAUAGGGCGGUACCUUGACGGUACCUAACCAGAAAGCCACGGCUAACUACGUGCCAGCAGCCGCGGUAAUACGUAGGUGGCAAGCGUUGUCCGGAAUUAUUGGGCGUAAAGGGCUCGCAGGCGGUUUCUUAAGUCUGAUGUGAAAGCCCCCGGCUCAACCGGGGAGGGUCAUUGGAAACUGGGGAACUUGAGUGCAGAAGAGGAGAGUGGAAUUCCACGUGUAGCGGUGAAAUGCG